rnacentral:tRNA from 1 species
GGCGGAAGGAGCUCGAUCUGGUUGAGCAAUAGAUUGUGAAUCUAAAGGUUAUGGGUUCAAAUCCCGUUUUCCGCC